rnacentral:misc_RNA from 1 species
UCCGGUUUGUCACCGGCAGUCCCAUUAGAGUGCUCAACUGAAUGUAGCAACUAAUGGCAAGGGUUGCGCUCGUUGCGGGACUUAACCCAACAUCUCACGACACGAGCUGACGACAGCCAUGCACCACCUGUGCACUGGCCCCGAAGGGCUGCCGUGUUUCCACGACAUUCCAGUGCGUGUCAAGCCCUGGUAAGGUUCUUCGCGUCGCGUCGAAUUAAACCACAUGCUCCGCUGCUUGUGCGGGUCCCCGUCAAUUCCUUUGAGUUUUAGCCUUGCGGCCGUACUCCCCAGGCGGGGUGCUUAAUGCGUUAGCUACGGCACUGAAGGGGUUGAAACUUCCAACACCUAGCACCCAUCGUUUACAGCGUGGACUAC